rnacentral:rRNA from 1 species
GAUUAACGCUGGCGGCAUGCCUAAUACAUGCAAGUCGAACGAAGUAGUUUACUACUUAGUGGCGAACGGGUGAGUAACACGUAUCUAAUCUACCAUUUAGUGGGGAAUAACUGUUGGAAACGACAGCUAAUACCGCAUACUGUUUCUAAGAUGAUUUCUUAGAAAUGAAAGAAGCUUUCAAGCUUUGCUAAUUGAUGAGGAUGCGGCGCAUUAGCUAGUUGGUAGGGUAAUGGCCUACCAAGGCAAUGAUGCGUAGCCGAUCUGAGAGGAUGAACGGCCACAUUGGGACUGAGACACGGCCCAAACUUCUACGGAAGGCAGCAGUAGGGAAUUUUUCACAAUGGGCGAAAGCCUGAUGGAGCAAUGCCGCGUGAUUGAUGA